rnacentral:miRNA from 1 species
GGCAGAAAAGGGCUGCAGCUU